rfam:Dictyostelium discoideum AX4 chromosome 5, whole genome shotgun sequence.
GUCAGGUUGGCUCAGUUGGUAGAGCGUAGGUCUCAUAAUCCUAAGGUCCAGAGUUCGAUCCUCUGACUUGACA